rnacentral:lncRNA from 1 species
GACAACACUGUCGUGGAUCCUCGACUUCUGGUUCUGUGCAACACAUUCUGAUAUCCACAUCAGGUUCCUGAUCUCCUGCUCCCUCAACCUCAUAUACGCAAAGAAUACCGCGUAAUGAAACUGCAAAACUCAGGUUUAAUCAACCAUCAUUAGCAUUAAACAUAAACUGACAGAAAGUUACAAACAAGACGCGUUAGGCAAUCGGACUCUAAUGUAUUAGACUCUGAACUUUUGGAGUUUCUAUGGAAACAAACCUGCUGCUCAAAGGCUAAGCAAAGCCUUCUGACUUCUUCUUCAUAAAACGCCUUGUCGAGCAUCUGGCUCUCUCCAUAAGACAUCUUGGAGAAUAUUGCUUGGUACGGAGGGUAUUUCUCCAUAACACCACGAACCUAUCAGUGAACAAUAAUGGGAUUCAUUGAGCAAUAUUUGUAGCACAACAUAUAUAUUUACAAUAUAUUAGCUUGCGGAUUUACCUGAUCUAUGUCUUCACAGAUAGCAAGCUCCUCGUGGCCAUAUGGAUAACUGAAGAAGCAAAAAUAAAAACCAUGGUGAGAAAAGGCUAGUUCAGAGUUUUAUGCAACCAUUGAAUGGAAUGAUCGUUUGUCUGUAGAAUGCUUACAGGAGACCAAAGUUAGAGUACAGUUUCUUCCUGUCUUCUCUUGUGAGCUCAGUGCCAAUGCUGCAUAGAAAAGGAAACCCAGUUUCAGUGCCUAUAUGAACAAAGCAACACAACAAUGGUAACAUCUUGUGGUUUCAUGCACGAUGACAACCGUAGAAUUAAUUACCUAUUGAUGGUGAUAUUCACUGCUCUUCUGUCGGCUUCAAAGGCCAGAAGGUCAGACAUUAUCUCUGAUGUUGCCCCACCAAGUUUCUACUUCGGAUACAUAGCGAAAAACAGGUUAAGUAUUAUUGGCAGAUUCUGAAUUUUAGUAAAAAUAUAUAGGAGCCGACUAGCACCUGACAGAACUUGUAGAAGUCCUCAAGGUAUGCUUUGUAGAGGGUAUUCCUCAUAAUCUCAAUGUUCAUGUCAUCCAAAUCCUGAAAGAAACAAGUAUAUUGUGAUAUGAAAAUCAUAAUUUUCCAAUGUAUCCGCUAACCAGAAACUAAUGGCACAAGGUCAAAAAAAAAAAAAAAGAAUUACAAAAGUAAAUAUUUCAGCUAUGCACCUCUGAUGUUAAGCAUUCAGAAAAAUAUGGAGCCAGAGGAGUGUCCACAAGCACCAACCUAUAGAGCUCCCUCAUGUUCUGAGCAACUGCUAGUGUAGCAAUACUGGAAAAGAGGAAUCAUAAGCAAAAACAUAAAAAAAGGAAAAUAAAAAGGGUAUAAAGAAGCUGCGGGAAGAGUUAUAGAACAUGCAAAGGUCAAUUCAAGUACCUGUCAAACAUGCCUAAAGGGUGACAUUUCUCGAUCAACUCUUGAACAUCUCUCUCGUGCAGGGUUCCAGUAACAAUCAGCACGACAUUGUCAAUCAUAUGGCCGUAUCUGCAUUAUAAUAUAAAGAAAAACGAACCGAUUAUCUCAAAGGCCAGCGUCUUAUUUUGAUAGAUCAUAUACUAAACUAAUUCCAGGGAAGAAACAAGUAACAAUAUAAGCUAGCAUCUAAACUACAAACAAAAAUGAUCAGAAAUCUUUGCCGUCAACAUGCUGAAACGAAUAACGGUUCCAUUUCACUGUAAUCUCGUAAAAGGUAAACCUUCAGGAAAGCAACAAAUUUUACACACUAUGAUGUACGUUGAGAAGGAUUUUGGCAAAGCUAAAUACCAACAAAAUUACUAGGCUAAAUACCAACAAAAUUACUAGGCCAAAAACAACACUAUAGCACCAUAUUCUGUUGAGCUAAAAUCAUAACUUUAUGGAAAGAUGAGCAAUAUCUUGCUUACCUGAUGUACUCUAAGAAGGUUGACAUAGGCUCAGUUGCCUGGCAAAGCAUAUGCUUAUAAUCAUCAACAAGCUUGAGCGUACACUUCUCCACAAUUGUGGUGGUAUGCAGAGGUGACGGUUCUGCAGCCAAGGAUUGGAAAAUCUUAGGAUAAAGAAUAAUUUUUUAACAAUGAUGAAAUGAAACAGAGAUUCAGAUAAUAUCAGAACUAACAAUUGUGCAGAUUUCAAACAGAUGGACAGUUGUCUUUACAAAAAAUCAAGGUACUGAGAGACUCAAGAAAUGACUGUCUCGUAUAAAACAUCAGAUUUCAGAUCCAUUUAUGAAGAUAAAUGGCAUUCAAAUUAAAACUGCCGCUGGAAACCAAAUUCACAUUGGUCAACGGGAAAUUUCACCAAUUCCCACAUCAAAUAGGAGAAUGAAAUCAUUUCAAAGACUAAAACCCAAAACCCAUAUGCAAUGAAACAAAAUCAAAGACAACUAAUCAAAUUCAUUGGCCAUCACAGAUUGGCAGAGCGAUCAUAUGCGGAAGACGCACCGUUUUGGAGGUAAGAGCCGUAUUUGGUAGCAGAGAGGUGCAUCUUGAUGUCGUCAAGGUUUUCACACUGGCACAGAUUGUUGUAAUCGGCGGUGGUGAGAAGCCCAGCACGGUGGCCCCUCACGAUCGCCUCCAAGUACCCGCCAUGGAUGUUGAACGUAAGCGCUUCGAAUCCGUACAUCCUUCUCUCCUUAACCUUCCGGAGAAUUACAGGAUAUUCAGAUCUCAAAGAACUUCUCGGGAGAUCUGAAGAAAAAAGAAAUUGAAGCAGAGAUCGACGCGAAGAAGAUAGCUGUGAAAUUGAUUGAUUAGUUUGCGAACUCGUCCGUGGCACGUUGAAACUACGAUUUUAUCCUUAGCACCGGUCUGCUAAAUCCAAGAAGAUAGUAGCUUUUUAAACCGUUCUAUUAAACCGAAGAAUGUAGCCUGCAAAAUUGAGAUUCCGAUAUUGUUUUUGGGUCUCGGCUUCAGAUGAACCAAAUGAUCAAUGGUGUUUUCGCCUUUUUUGGGUAAACUCUUGAAAAAUAGUCUACACUUGAAUAACUCGAAGUCUAUGAACUUUUUUACAAAUUUAAAAUUGAUUGCCAAUCAAAUAUAGCAUUUCGAGGAUUACAGUAGUUUACUGGAUGCAAAAUAUGGCAACAAAAAAAGACGAAUAAAUAGGAGAGAUUCUUAUUGGGAAAUUUUCAUACAUGCACUCUCACUCAGACAUAACAAUGAAUGUAAAACUGCAGAUUGUACAUGCAGAUUUCUCUGGUAAAAAAGGAGCAAUGAAGAAACCACCAACAACAAAAUUGGUUCUUUCUUCGUACUCUCCAAUAUUAAGACAUUACACUUCUAUGUGUUUCAACACUUCUUGCCAGACUCAGAACAUGUAAACGACACUGUCGUGGAUCCUCGACUUCUGGUUCUGUGCAACACACUCGGAUAUCCACAUCAGAUUCCUGAUCUCCUGCUCUCUCAACCUCAUAUACGCAAAGAAUACCGCAUAAUGGAACUGCAAACUCAGGUUUAAACAGCCACUGUUAGUCUUAGACAUGGGUCUAGAAACAGCUAUAACAACACAUCAUGUUAGGGGAAAGGGGAAACAAACCUGCUGCUCAAAGGCUAAGCAAAGCCUUCUGACUUCUUCUUCAUAAAACGCCUUGUCGAGCAUCUGGCUCUCUCCAUAAGACAUCUUGGAGAAUAUUGCUUGAUACGGAGGGUAUUUCUCCAUAACACCACGAACCUAUCAGUGAAUGAUAAUGAGAUUCAUUGAGCCAUAUUUUAAAACUUUAAUAUGUUUAUAAUAUAUCAGCUUGCGGAUCUAGCUACCUGAUCUAUAUCCUCGCAAAUAGCAAGCUCCUCGUGACCAUAUGGAUAGCUGUUAAAAGAAAUAUCAAAACCAUGGUGAUGGAAACCACUUUAGAAUAUUAUGCAAUCACUGAAUGGAAUUAUCAUUUGACUGUGGAAUUCUUCUUACAGGAGACCAAAGUUAGAGUACAGUUUCUUCCUGUCUUCUCUUGUGAGCUCAGUGCCAAUGCUGCACAGAAAAGAAAACCCAGUUUCAGUGCCAAUAUGAACAAAGCAACACUAUCAUGCGGAAGAUAUACAGCAGUAGUUACUAACCUAUUGAUGGUGAUAUUCACAGCUCUUCUGUCAGCUUCGAAGGCCAAAAGGUCAGACAUUAUCUCUGCUGUUGCCCCACCAAGUUUCUGUUUUGGAUACCCGACAAAAAGAUGGGGUUAGCUAGUAUAGGUGGAUUCUGAAUUUUUUUCAGAAAGUUUAGGAGUCGACUAGCACCUGACAGAACUUGUAAAAAUCCUCAAGGUAUGCUUUGUAGAGGGUAUUCCUCAUAAUCUCAAUGUUCAUGUCAUCAAGAUCCUACAAAAAAUAAACACUAUAAGAUUUGUACGUGAUAUAACAAUGGCACAAAACUGAAAACAAAAAACUACAAAUGAUAAAAAGUUUCAGUUUUGUACCUCCGAGGUUAAACAUUCAGAAAAGUACGGAGCAAGAGGAGUGUCCACAAGCACCAACCUGUAGAGUUCCCGCAUGUUCUGAGCAACUGCUAGUGUAGCAAUACUGGAAAACAGAAAGCAAUGAGAAAAACAUAAAGGUGAAAAAGAAAAGCGGUCUGAAGCAGCUACGGGAUGAGGUCUAGAAGAUGCAAAAGGUCGAUUCGAGUACCUGUCAAACAUGCCUAAAGGGUGACAUUUCUCGAUCAAUUCUUGAACAUCUCUCUCGUGCAGGGUUCCAGUAACAAUCAACACGACAUUGUCAAUCAUGUGGCCAUAUCUGCAUUACAAUAGUAAAAGAACAAACCCAAAAUCUCAAAGGGCAGCUAGCAUUUGAAGAAAAACAGAAUGACCAUAAUCUUUCCGUUAAACAUAGGGAAACGAAUAAUUGCUCAGUUUUGUUGCAGUCUCGGCAAAGGUAAAACUUUUAGGGAAGCAACAAUUCUUACAUUAUGAUGUACAUUGAGAAGGAUUUUGGCAACAAACUUACCUACCUUAAUUCUGGAAACUAAAAGAUGGGCCACCAAAGACAACAAUGUAGCAACCAUCCCCUAUUGAUCUAGAAUCAUGAUUUUACGGAAAAUGAGGAAUGCCUCGCUAACCUGAUGUACUCUAAGAAGGUUGACAUAGGCUCAGUUGCUUGGCAAAGCAUAUGCUUGUAAUCAUCAACAAGCUUGAGAGUGCACUUCUCCACAAUUGUGGUGGUAUGCAGAGGUGACGGUUCUGCAGCCAAGGAUAAAGAACAGUUUUUUUUUUACAAUAAUGAAGCAGAUUCAGAUACAAGGACUAACAAUUUUCUUAACAAGAAAUCGAGAAAUUGAGAGUCACUUUCUCGUCUAAAACAUCAGAUGUCAGAUCCAUUUAUGUAGAUGAAGGACAUUUAAAUCAUAACUACCAUCGGAAACCAAUUUCACAUCAGUCAUGACUCAUGGGGAAAUUUCACUAAUUCCCACAUCAAAUUAAGGACUGAUAUUUUUAAAUGCUUAAAACCCAUGAAACAAAAUCAAAGUCAAAUAAUCAAAUUCUUUACACAAAUGAGUCAAAUUUGGAGACAUCACGGAUCAUAUGUGAAAGACGCACCGUUUUGGAGGUACGAGCCGUAUUUGGUGGCGGAGAGGUGCAUCUUGAUGUCGUCAAGGUUUUCACACUGGCACAGAUUGUUGUAAUCGGCGGUGGUGAGAAGCCCAGCACGGUGGCCCCUCACGAUCGCCUCCAAGUAUCCGCCAUGGAUGUUGAAUGUAAGCGCCUCGAAUCCGUACAUCCUUCAAUUCUUUCCCCUUCCGGAGAUAUUCAGAUCUCAAAGAUUUUCGGGAAGAUCUGAAGAAAAAAAUUGAAGCAGAGCCAGAGAUCGACGCGAAGAAGAUAGCUUUGAAUGUGAUUUGAUUUGUUUGCAAUCUCGUCCGUGGCAGAUUGAACUACGGUAUUAUCCUUUAACCGGUCUGCUAAAUCGAAGACGCACACGCGCGUAAUUACUAAACCGAUAAAUGUACCGAACGAGAAAACCUUCCUUCAGGUUAGUUUUGGUUUAGUUUAUCGGUUUACCUUUUAAACUCUUUGGGGUGGACAUUAUACAGUAUUUGCAUUUACAUUCUAUCUAAAACUGUCAUUGACUAACAUAACACUCAUCUCAAGUCUCAACCUAAAUUUCUCUUCUUUUUGUGUUAACUUAAACAUUAAACCAUUUUCUGUGAAAGCACGAACUGGCAAGUGUAGAGUACUCCUUGUGAAUAAAACUCAAGAGUGCUACAGAUGGUCUUAUUAAACAUUUUUGAUAGUAACAUAUAGCAAAUAAAAAAGAAUUCGAAAGCUGUUGAUCACUUUCACAAACCGAAAAAUAUACCGAGUUAAAAAGAGGGUGGCUUCUCUAAAAGUUUCAAUUUUUCUACUGGAAUGGAGCGGGAAUGCCUUGGUUUCGGUUGACAAUAGCCAUAGCAAGAUACCUCGUGCCCAUUCCAAUCGGAGUCUGUUCAUCAGGUCCUUCCCAGAAAGGUGCUUCACCAUCUCCAACAAGCCGCCAGUAUCCCGACCUCAAGGACUCAGCUUGCUCAUCAUCGCAGUUUUGUAGCAGCGCAUCAACUCUGAAGUUUAUUCCAAGCGAACCCAAGAACUGAGACUGAGUCAUAGGUCCAUGGACUGUGACAUUCUCUGCACAAUACACACGUUUGCAUCUGGUAAGUAAGUUAACUCUUCAUAUUACAAUGACGAGCAGUGAGUAUAGGAAUGAAACCUGAAGCUUCCUCAGCGGAGUGUUUUAUUGAAGGAAAAUCGACAUAAGCACUUAGAUCUGCAGACCCUGGAUCAUCCAGUAUGUUGACAAACUUGUGUUUUCUAAUAGCCUUAGCCAUAAUGAAAAAAAAAAGAUGGUUUAAUGCGAAGACAUUUUAAACAUGAUCAGAACAUUUUUAGGCCACAAACCUGAAGACUGUCUGAAAUGAUUCCAUCCAUCCCGUAAUCGAUUAUAAGUGCACCACCUCCAUCAGAACCUAUUCUCUUGGCCAUUUCUUGUGUCAAAUCCAUUGAUUUCGGGCUGAUCUCGACAUGCUCAAGUUUCUCCCUUUCUUCAGGUGUAGCCCACGUGCAACGUUUCAUGAGAUACAAGGCUGCAGGUGUAGGCUGCGGGGAUAGAACAAAGCGGAACCUAAACCAACAACGUAUCGAUCAAUUCUAGAGUUUUCUUUGCAAAUCCCACUACUGAGAUAUAUCCUUUUUCUUUGAAUUCCUUAAUACUUACUGUGAAUCUUGUCCUACAUCAACCAUUUUCUCACACCAGCCACGGGAAGAUUUCUGCAUAAAUUGGUCCACAUAAGAUACACAUCAAUUACUAAAAGAAGAAGACUAUAUUCCCAGUUUAACCCACACUUACCUGAAAUUGAUGAACUGGAAGAGCAUCAUAAAACUCAUGAGCUAUGAUUAUUGUUGGUACUGCCACGGAAGCAAAGAUGAAAAAGAUAUUUCAUGAGAAAAGAUGCAGAGUAUCAUUGUUUUGAAUGCUUAAGAUAUAUUUUAGUACGUUGAAUUUGGCUAUAUUAAGACAAAAACAUCAUAAAUAAUCACAAUUAGAGAGGCUUAAAUUCCAAGUAAAUGUAACAAAAUAUGCAUACCUCCUGAUGGUACCUCUUCAAGAGUAGCGUGCCAGUGCACAGGUGUCCCAGCUAGUGCACUAAUCGCUUUCUUCUCUGAAGAACUUUCAUCUGUGCAUUUCAGGUUCUGGUGCUGAAGCUUCUGCAACGCGGGACUGCAUUCCACCAAGUGUAUAUGCAAUGACUCCGUGAAAUUUCUAAACUUUGAUGUACCCUAUAUGUGAAAAGUCCCCAGUUAAGAGCAGUAAGAUCGUUUGGCAUUGGAGGUUUUGGGGACAGAAUUAGAAUUCUUAAGGAUACAGCACAAGAGCUUAAAUACAUACACGAAGGAGAUCGACCAUGAGCGUUCCUCGACCUGGACCUAGCUCAAUGAGAUUAACCCUCUCUGGCCUUCCCAUUUGCUCCCAAAGACACACAGUCCAAACGCCGAUCAUCUAUGAUCACGACACCAAGUGAGAAAAACCAAUCUCAAGCUCGGACAUAGAACCAAACACAAAUGCAUAAAUCCUAAAAAACAAGAAAUGCUAAGUAAUUACCUCGCCGAACAUCUGGCUAACUUCUGGAGAAGUAAUGAAAUCACCUUGAGCUCCAAAUACAUCACGAUUCAUGUAGAAUCCUGCUUUAGGAUUAGUCAAGACUUCCUCCAUGUAUUCCGCCACUGAGAUUGGACCACCCCGAAACUGUGAUGAAUACCAAAUUCACACAUUUGAUUCAAACUUCACACAAAAGCAUCUUUCUAGAAUCACACGAUCAACAAUCACGAGUUUCGAUUUUUUUUCAAAUAUGAACCUCAAAUAUAUGAAUUGAAGAUACCUUGAUAAUGCUCUUGAGGUGCUUGACGAGCUCGGAAUCAGGUGUGGGUUCAUGAGAGUGAUCUGGACUUCCCCAAAACAAUCAGCCCCCAAAUCUGUCAAAUUGAAUCUCACUAUAGAGUUUGGAGUGAAAUAGGUACCAGGAGGAUUGAAGAGAGCAGAACGGUCGACGGAGAUAGUUGUUCCGGCGACGGCACCAGCCUCUUCGACAUGUUCAACGGUGCCGCUCCCUGAGCAAGGUGGCUCCGACGAAGAGGAUAAUGAGGAAAUCGAUGAAAGAGAGGGUUUGGAGAAGAAAGGACUCCCGGAAGAGAGAAGACGGCGUGAGGGUGUUUGCGUCAGUAAUCUUCUCAGCAUCUUCGCAGUUCAAAAUCUGCAGGCUCCGACAUACCCAAGUAAGGUACUGGUCAAGGGUAAAGAAGAAACUUAUUAUUCUAUUAUAAUAAUGUAAUUGUAACUUAUAACAUCAAAGGGGAUGUAGCUCAGAUGGUAGAGCGCUCGCUUAGCAUGCGAGAGGUACGGGGAUCGAUACCCCGCAUCUCCAUAUUUUUUUCAAUAUGAAUGUUUAUCUUCAUUUAGUCAAAUAAUUAAAAACCUAAUCUUUUUGCAACCAUAUUACACGACCAUGAUCCAUCAAAUGAUUUAUCCACUUUCGAUAUUUAUUCAACAUCCUCUAAAAUCUCUAAAGGGAUUUAUAUUUUCACCAAGUUAUAGCAAAAAAAGCAAAGGCAUAUCCGUACAUACAUUACAGGGUACAUAUAUAAGUUUUUACAGACAACAUAGGUUUUUGAUCCUUAAAAGAGCUUUACCCUCUCAACCUUUACAUUUCUACACAUUAAAAAUCAAAAUCUUUAGACCUUGAGGACCAAAGAUAUCUUCCUUGAGUUCCAUCAACUCAAAUAACACAAACAAGGAUCCGAACAUGCUAAACUUGCCAAGCUUCAGUUUCCACAGACCAUCUCUUUUGCUCUGGCUAAAAAGGCUGCAAACGAGAAUACCGUUCUUGAAUCAGAAAGAAUCAAUGCAACAGGAAG